rnacentral:misc_RNA from 1 species
GAAGGGCUUUCUGAGCCAAAAGUUUACUUGAAACAUUCAUUAUGGAAUGCUCUUGGAAUAAGUCAAUAGAAUUCCAAACUACAAGCACUAUGAUAUGCACACUUACAUUGAUGAAGAUAGUGUUCUCUAAGUACCGUUAAUACUGCUUCUAUUGUCAAAAAGAACUCAAAAACUAAUACAAAAUACAGUUCUCUCAUGCUUCAAGGUUUCUUUCCCCAUCACCUUGCAGAUUCUAUUUUAUUUUCCCAUAUCAAUGAGAGGCACUGGAUUGCAGGAUUCAAACAUUGUCUACUAAGUCAAACUGGCUAUUUACCGAUCCGUACCACCUGUGUAAUUGCAAGACCAUUCCUCAUGAAACUAGACCCUUCCAACUGGAGAAUGGGGUGGGUAUGAGACAAAUUUUGCAGGCACGUCCGUAUCAACUCGAUUUGUGCUGCCCCUUAUUCCAUCAUUUCGGGCCAAUAUGGUUUCCAAAGAAGUUUUUCCUUCAAACAAGUUGCACGAUCCUGGGAUCUCACACAGUUUUUUACUGUCUAUAACUGCUAUACACAGUGAGAACGCUUGUAUAAUUGAAAGUGAUGAAUUGAACUCCACUGAAUAGAUCCCAUCCUUGAAAGGAGCCAAACUGAAGACAGGUUGGUUCUCUUCUUCUCCUCCCUGAGAGAUGAACUCAAAUUUAUCAAUUAUAGUGCAAGCUUUAGAUGGACGUGUAUUCUUACUAAGCUGACUCUGGUUGGCAAAAAUUCUGAGUUUGCAACCCAAAUCCCAACCUCCACAAUCACAUGAUCCACCUGAUCUCCAUCUUUGGAUCAGGGAUGAAGGUCCUCCUUUAUUUGGUAGACUAUGAACACCACUUGGAAGAAUGACUGUGGCACUGAUAAUGCUUUGGCCGUUGAUGAUAGGAUGUUCCCCAGAAGUAGAAUUAAAUCUCAUCUCUGGAAGAUCAUUGCAUUUAUCAGUAUGAUGCCCAUCACUGGCUGUAUUUCUAUUGAUGACUCUGGGGAUCUUGACAACAAUGGCAGCAAGUUCAUCAUUUGGGUGGAAGUCUAAUGUUUGUGUCUCUGCUUGUUGUAGGCCCAUGGCAAACAAAACAAAUUCUCUAGCAAAUGAUUGCUCCAUAUAGUUCUCUCUAGUCCAACGGGAAAACUGUGAACCAGAAACCUUCAAUUGAGCUACAACAUUAGGAAUAUAAUCAUGACCUUUGCCUUUGCCUUUGCCUCCUUGGUUCAUCCACCCCCCAUUCCUUUUCCUGAUUUCUUGAAAAGCAAAGAAUUUGUAAAUGCAGCUAUAGUCAUCCUCUCUCGUGCUACUCAACUUCUUCAUUGUGGCUGCAAGAAUAUUAUGUUCAUUGUCAACUGCAAACGUGAAAAGAGGCUGGCCAUUCUUAACUGUAACUUGUAGCAAAGCUUGAAAUGCUGAUGAUCCAUGCUUCUUUUCCUGACACGAAUUAUCAAUAUUGAUUGGCCUACAACUUUCCAUAUCUAAUUUUACAACUCCUGGCUGUCUUGCUCCAGUUGAAUAAUCUAAACGUCCAUUGGAUGGCUUGCAGGCCCUAUCUGUUGAUAAAAAAUGCCUUUCUAAUGGUUCCCCAGAAUGACGGCAGUUUGGUGCCUUAGGUUUCAACAGUGGCUCAAGUAAUCUUCUCAGAGGGCUUGACCUGGCUCUGCUUGUAGCAUUUUGAUUAUCACCACAUGAAUUACCAUGACAAGCGGAAGCCAUAGCAUUCUCUGAGGCAGAUUUUGUUGCAGAACGAUGGACUGUGCUAAUUUGUGGUAUGGAUGAACCCUCUUCACAGCUGAAACUUUUACUUAUCUGACCCAUACCAAUGCCAAGCCUGCGAAAAGGUGAGGUGCUUCUCAGUUUUUCAGAAAUUGCUUUGCUUAGCUUCAUAUCCAAUCCUGCGAAAGUCUCUUUUGAAUUUGAGUUUAUUGGUGUUAAAACUGAUUUUUUACUUUCUGAAAUUCUACCACGGGAGGGACUGAUUUCUAUUUUGGCUGGAUGUGGUGCUAAGUGAGAUGAAUUGGGCAAAAAGCUGAUACUCUCUGCAUCUGAAGAGCCACAUUUUAUCUCUGUGCAUUCUUCAAUCUCACAAGGCAGUGGGCAAGAGUGCAGGACAUCAGAAGUGACUGCUGCAGGACUCAUGUCCAUAGGCAUUUCUGACAAGCUACUUCCACUUGCUUUUGCUCCCUUUUGAUACAACAUUGCUGUUGACUUGGAAAGCCGGGAACUACUUCCUUGGGUGAGAUCUCUUGGCAUAAGUAGAACUACUCUUUUACUUUUUUCAGAGACAUCUUGGUCAAAGGCAUACGCCUUCUGUUCUUGCAACUUAUUUGCUUUAUUCAUAAAUUCACCAUCUUGGGUUGCCUUUACCUUCAUGCACUGCCGCACUUCAAAAUUGACCCCAUUUAAAAAUCCACAUUCUGGAUUCAUCUUUGGGUCUGAAUCUUUUCUCUUGCACUGUUCCAGUUUGAUUUCAGGACAAUUUUUAGAAAGAAGUUGGUCUGUCCUGACGAACUUUCCUUGGUCAUUCAUAGUGUUAGUCUGGGCACCUUUGACAUCUUUAAAUUUUUGAAUGCUUUCUUCAAACGAUUUACCAUCUUUUGAAUGAACUUCUACUGGAGAUGACAUCAAAUGAGAUUGGAGAGAUUGACGGCGCAUCCUUUGAUGAUCAGGAGAGCAACUCUGACCUCUACUAGAGUCAAUAUAUGAUCCUUCUGUAGAGAACGAUGAGGAUGAAUUAGCACUUGAGAGCGAAUGCCUGCUACCUCUGUAGGGUAUCUGUUUUUGGCCACACUGCCACUUUUCUAAACGGCCCCAAUCAAGGACCCCAACAUUUAAAACUUUCUCCUGUCGAUUUUCUCCCCUCUCCAGAUAACUUGGUAAAUUUGACAUAUACUUGACAAGCUCCUCUUCUUCAGUCACCUUCCUACACUGUUUUAGGAAAUUCUUUGAACAUUUAGGUGAAAUAUCUUUUAUAUUCUUUGCAACUUCACGAUGAAAAUCAGCAUAUGACAAGGUCAGCUUUUUUGGUGUGAACCUGUCAUGUGGAGCGAAACUUUGCCUUGCUCGGGUUGUUAAAGUCUCAGAAGUUACUAAUGAUUGCUGGUCCCUCGAAUUUAUUUUCUGCCUCAAAGGGUCUUCCAUAGACCAAAUAGUUUUUUAGGACUUCAGCAAUAUCCCAGGUUCAGACAAAGGAAUGCAGAUAUUUGUCCACUUCACCUUUUUUUUUUCCUUCUCAGAUUUUUCAAGGAAAAGGCUACAAUUGGUUCUUUUCAGCUCAACAAGGACGCUGGCCACUCCAUUCCAGCUAUAGAAAUACAGAGGCAAGAGACGCCAUUAACAGAACCACCAGCCCCUCCAGCAAGAAGUAAGGAGUGUCGGUGCUCCAGAGGUCAACCAAACCCAAGAAAACAGCAACCAGAGAUAAGCAAGAGUUACAGAGAGCAAAUAACCAGCAGAAUAAUAUCAAUAUUAAUGUCUUCCUUUAGUUGCAGAGACUCCAAACUCCAAAGCAAGAACCAGCAGACCCAGAAAAGCACACAGAGAAAGAUAGGUAUACAGAGAGAAAAUGGGGGAGACUGUAUUUCUGGCUGGAACUCAUUUAUUUAUGUUUGUUACGGUCAAAGUGUUUUGUAGAGAGAGAGAUUAGAGUUGAC